GAUGAAGAACGUAGCGAAAUGCGAUACGUAAUGUGAAUUGCAGAAUUCAGUGAAUCAUCGAAUCUUUGAACGCACAUUGCGCCCGCCAGUAUUCUGGCGGGCAUGCCUGUUCGAGCGUCAUUUCAACCAUCAAGCCCCAGGCUUGUGUUGGAGCCCUGCGGCCGCCCGCAGCCUCCUAAAAUCAGUGGCGGGCUCGCUAUCACACCGAGUGCAGUAGUUUACUCUUCGCUCAGGACGUGUAGCGGGUUCCGGCCGUGAAACCCCCCAAUUUUCAAGGUUGACCUCGGAUCAGGUAGGAAUACCCGCUGAACUUAAGCAUAUCAAUAAGCGGAGGA
rnacentral:misc_RNA from 1 species